CUAGGGGAAAGUUCAUAAGGGAGGCAGAGGGUGAGUUAUCGCUUCCUCUUCAGUCUGGACUGUUACAGCCAUCUUGAGCUAUCGUGGAAGGGUAGUUCAUAAUCAGGGAACACAAAAGAUGUUAUGGGUCUCAUGGGGCCAAGCUGGAUCCGCAGAAGUAUAACAGAUAUGGUGAUAUUCUGGUGCACUUUCCUGGGACACAUGCUGAUUUGGAGUUUAGAGAUGUUCGUCACUGAUGCUAAAUAUUAAGCAAACUGGUAGUGGGGAAAAGAUGAAGAUCCACUGCAUCCUUGGUGGUCACGGAAAUUCAGAGAUUGUCCAUCUUGAACCAAGGAAGAAAUGAGGGAGAACUAAACAAACAAACAAAAAUACCUGUGCGUAAGAAUUGACUGGCCUUUGAUGAGAAAUCACAGGUCAAAACAAAGCUCUCUAUUUAAGAUUUACUACCUUAACUUGGAUUCUGUAUUCCUUUGUUUUUAUAAUGUUCAAAAUUCAAACAUCUGACUUUGGCAUUUAGGCUAUACUACUUGAGAUUUAAAAAAAAAUCUAAUUGACAUUUUUAAAUUUUAGUUUUUGAGGCUUAAUUUACGUAGAAUGAAAUGUGCUGCAAAAUUCAAAGAGUGCUAUGCAUUUUGAAAAAUCAUUCAAUCAUGUAAACACCAUCAAAAUCAGGAUACAGAACAAUCCCAUCAUACUCUCCCCUCCAAAUUCCCUUGUGCUGUCUCUGUUCCAAGCUUCUGGAAACUACCGAUAUGUUUUCUGUCAAUGUUGUCAACAGUUUUUUAUUUUCCAAAAUGUCAUAUAAAUGUAAUCAUAGCCUUUUGAAUAUGGCUUCUUUCACUCAAUGUAACUAUUUUGAGAUUUAUCCGUGUUGUUGCAUGUAGUUCAUACUUUUUAUUGUUCUGUAGUAUUUCAUUUUAUGGUAUUCAGAGUUUGUUUAUAUCCGUUCAUCAGGUGAAAGACAUUUGGGUUGUAUUCAGUUUUUUUGUGAUUUUGAAUAAAGCCACUAUUAAUUACUCACGCAGUUUUUGUGUAAAUGUAUGUUUCCAUUUCUCUUGGGUAAAUAUCUAGGAGUGUGAUGGCUGGGUCAUAGGGUCUGUGCACAUUUAGCUUCAUAAGAAACUGCUAAA